UUAUCGGUUACCCUCUUCCUCUGGUUCCUCCGCUUUGCUUCCGGGUCGCCUCGGCUGCUGGUUAACGGUACAGACAAGACGUUCCCGGUUACAGCGCUCGUGAUCAGCGCGUCAAUCAAACCUGGCCGUAAUCGGCAGCUUUGCCUCCGUCCUCUUCCUCAGUGGGAUUUCUCUGGUGGCCUGAUCGUUGCUGAGAGCUGACGUGGUGGUUCCUGGUGUCCUGGUGGUGGGGACUUCCCGUUUUGGUGUGCAGUGCCGCCCCCUUCUAGUCCAUUGUUUUACAGAGUGCAUGUGUGUAGUGGCUG